AUUAGGGUGUCAGAUAAAUGUGUUAGAUUUAGGAUCUAAUUAUGAGUGUGUACUCCCCUAGUA
rnacentral:tRNA from 1 species